rnacentral:lncRNA from 1 species
GUCUUGAUAAAAUUAAGAUUUUUCUCCUGAAAUGCAAUAAGUCUUUUUCUAAGCCAAAAUCAUUAGAAACCCCCUCAAAUACUUUGUAAUCAUCAAAAUCAAUUCAAGGAGCAAUAAUUUUCUAUACCCAAAUUUCUUUGGUAAGUCUCUCUUUAAGUCAGAUAAGGGUGAGAAAAAGUUAGAGUUAAAUUGAAAUUUAAAAUAGUUUGAAUUGCAAUAAACUCUAGCUCUUAUCCUAUCUAACCUAGUUUGUGCGACAACCAUAAAAAGGCUCCAAUUUUGUGCAUCAACUGAAGAGGGCUUUUCAUCAUGAGAUACCAAAGAAAAAGAGGGGCUGAAAACCUUAUUUGAGGCAUGAGGUUUGGGUGAGCUUCUAUCUUCCUUAGCAUG